GAAGUUCAUAAAAAACUUAUCAGACCCCAUCAUCAGUCAUAUGCUUGAUUGGCUCGACUUGAGUUUACUUAUGAAUCACAUAGAAACUCUUUUCUAGUAUUCACACUUGCUUUGGCCAAAGAAUUUCUGAACUCAAUCUCGCAAAUCGCAUAGGACUUCUCCUUUUCUACCAGGAUCGAUAGAUUUUAUUUAGAUGCAUCUUACUCC
rnacentral:lncRNA from 1 species